rnacentral:rRNA from 1 species
UACAGAGGUGACAAACGUUGUCCGGAAUUAUUGGGCGUAAAGGGCGCGUAGGUGGUUGAGUAAGUCAGGUGUGAAAGCUCUGGGCUUAACCCAGGAAUUGCAUCUGAUACUGCUCGGCUUGAGUACGGUAGGAGGAGGGUGGAAUUCCCAGUGUAGCGGUGAAAUGCGUAGAUAUUGGGAGGAACACCGGUGGCGAAGGCGGCCCUCUGGACCGAUACUGACGCUGAGGUGCGAAAGCGUGGGGAGCGAUCCGG